UACAGAGGUCCCAAGCGUUGUUCGGAUUCACUGGGCGUAAAGGGUGCGUAGGUGGCCGGGUAAGGCUGACGUGAAAUCUCCGAGCCUAACUCGGAAACUGCGUCGGAUACUAUCCGGCUUGAGGGUUGGAGGGGGGACUGGAAUACUUGGUGUAGCAGUGAAAUGCGUAGAUAUCAAGUGGAACACCAGUGGCGAAGGCGAGUCCCUGGACAACUCCUGACACUGAGGCACGAAAGCUAGGGGAGCAAACAGG
rnacentral:rRNA from 1 species